UACGGAGGGUGCAAGCGUUAAUCGGAAUUACUGGGCGUAAAGGGUGCGUAGGUGGUUUAUUAAGUUACAUGUGAAAUUCCUGGGCUCAACCUGGGCAUGUCAUGUAAGACUGGUAGACUCGAGUACGGGAGAGGGCAGUGGAAUUUCCGGUGUAGCGGUGAAAUGCGUAGAGAUCGGAAGGAACACCAGUGGCGAAGGCGACUGCCUGGCCUGAUACUGACACUGAGGCACGAAAGCGUGGGGAGCAAACAGG
rnacentral:rRNA from 1 species